rnacentral:rRNA from 1 species
GACGAACGCUGGCGGCGUGCUUAACACAUGCAAGUCGAACGAAGUGGCGAACGGGUGAGUAAUACGUGGGUAACCUGCCCUCCUUUUUGGGAUAAGCCUUGGAAACGGGGUCUAAUACCGACUACAGGGGGAUGGGCUCGCGGCCUAUCAGCUUGUGGGUGGGGUGAUGGCCUACAAAGGCGGGGACGUGUAGCCGGCCUGAGAGGGUGACCGGCCACAUUGGGACUGAGAUACGGCCCAGACUCCUACGGGAGGCAGCAGUGGGGAAUAUUGCACAAUGGGCGAAAGCCUGAUGCAGCCAUGCCGCGUGUGUGAAGAAGGCCUUCGGGUUGUAAAGCACUUUCAGCGGGGAGGCGUUACCCGCAGAAGAAGCACCGGCUAACUCCGUGCCAGCCGCCGCGGUAAUAC